rnacentral:rRNA from 1 species
AUGAGCACCAACCUCGUCAACUUCAUGACGGACAAAAUGGGCAUGACCUACACCGCCGCCGCCAACAGCGUCACCAACUGGGGCGGCACCUGCUACGCCACCACCCUCAUCGGCGCCUUCCUCGCCGACGCCUACCUCGGCCGCUUCCGGACCAUCGCCUCCUUCGUCACCAUCUACAUCAUCGGGCUGGGGCUUCUGACGAUGGCGGCGUCCGUGAAAGGGCUGGUGCCGACGUGCGCGGCGAAGGGAGUGCGCGACCCGAUGGCGGGGCAGACGGCGGCGGUCUUCGUGGGUCUGUACCUGGUCGCGCUGGGCACGGGCGGGAUCAAGCCCUGCGUGUCCUCAUUCGGGGCGGACCAGUUCGACGAGCACGACGACGGCGAGCGGCGGAGCAAGAGCUCCUUCUUCAAUUGGUUCUACUUCUCCAUCAACAUCGGCGCGCUGGUGGCCUCGUCCGUGCUCGUGUACGUGCAGGAGCGCUUCGGCUGA